rnacentral:lncRNA from 1 species
CCGACGUCAUCAUCAGAAAACAGCUUCAGCCCCGUAGUUGACAUUAGCGUUAGUCUCUCGCUGAGCCAAGAUGAAUUAGACGUAGAAAUGGCUGUCCCGCGAGAAGUAAAGCCUGCCCACACGUCGUCAGCCUCUGGCCCGUAUGGCGCCCCAGAUCGCCGCACCAAGUUACAGCAACCGAAGAUACUUCGGCCUUCUUUAGGAGGGCCGAAGUGUGCAUUGGUACGUGUGCGGUGCAUCUCCCGUGGAUUUGCUACCGGCGCGCCGACUUCAACAACACGACCAGAAAAGAAGCAGAUUGGGAUUCAGGAAUCAAUCGUGAGCAUCCACCGGUUCUACUAGAACCGUAGGGCUUUGCUCAGAAGUCCUACAUAUCCUUCCAUAUCAUCUUCCUUGCUUGGUCUCGGACUGGAAACGUUCGAUGUUUCGUCACGUUUUCAUUAACGCUUUUUAUGGCGUUGCAAACAACAAUGAACACUAUGUGCAAAAAUGAGUGCCAAUAAACUGUCUUUAUAAAGUCA